AGUCAAUAGAUACCCAGGUAGUCCAUGCCGUAAACGAUGAUUGCUAGGUGUGGGGGGUCUGACCCCUUCCGUGCCGGAGUUAAACACAAUAAGCAAUCCACCUGGGGAGUACGGCCGCAAGGUUGAAACUCAAAGGAAUUGACGGGGGCCCGCACAAGCAGUGGAGUAUGUGGUUUAAAUUCGAAGCAACGCGAAGAACCUUACUAGGUCUUGACAUCCACCGAAUCCUGUAGAGAUACGGGAGUGCCCUUCGGGGAACGGUGAGACAGGUGGUGCAUGGUUGUCGUCAGCUCGUGUCGUGAGAUGUUGGGUUAAGUCCCGCAACGAGCGCAACCCUUGUGAAUAGUUGCUACGAAAGAGCACUCUAUUCAGACCGCCGUUGACAAAACGGAGGAAGGUGGGGAUGACGUCAAAUCAUCAUGCCCCUUAUGACCUGGGCUACACACGUACUACAAUGGCCGUUAACAGAGGGAUGCAAUGCCGCGAGGUGGAGCGAACCCCUAAAAACGGUCUCAGUUCAGAUUGCAGGCUGAAACUCGCCU
rnacentral:rRNA from 1 species